rnacentral:rRNA from 1 species
AGAGAGAGACAUGCGCGCAUAUCAAUAAGCGGAGGAAAAGAAACUAACAAGGAUUCCCUCAGUAACGGCGAGUGAAGCGGGAAGAGCUCAAAUUUGAAAUCUUAAAGGUUUCCCUUGACGAAUUGUAGUUUAAAGGAAGUGUUUUCUGUUGAGGUUUUGGUAAAAGUUCUUUGGAAUAGGACAUCAUAGAGGGUGAGAAUCCCGUAUUUGACCAUUAUUUCCAGCUUUGUGAUACACUUUCAAAGAGUCGGAUUGUUUGGGAAUGCAGUCCAAAAUGGGUGGUAAAUUUCAUCUAAAGCUAAAUACUGGCGAGAGACCGAUAGCGAACAAGUACCGUGAGGGAAAGAUGAAAAGAACUUUGAAAAGAGAGUUAAACAGUACGUGAAAUUGUCAAAAGGGAAGCGUUUGACACCAGUGUUGUUUUCUCGAAAAUCAAUUAAAAAGAGUCAGGAUUUUGUGUUGUAUUGACCUUUAAUCAGCUUCUGCACUUCAAUUUUCUUGUCUUUUUUUAAUGCACUUUUCGUUUAACAAGUCAACAUCAGUUUCUUUUGUUGUAAAAGGGUCAUUGGAAGGUGGCUUUCUUUUCGGAGAAAGUGUUUAUAGCCUUUGGCCUCUGCAAUCGGAGAGAUUGAGGUCUGCAGCGUAGAUCCUUCGGGGUUAUAGCAUUUGUGCUAAGUUAUAACCUUUCAUAGACAACUUGUUGACUAUGAUCUGUCAUGUAGCUUACUCGCUUAUGCUAUUUUACCUACGCUUAGGAUGUUGAUGUGAUACUGCGAGCA